rnacentral:tRNA from 1 species
GGUUCGGUGUUCUAGGGGUAUAAUUCUCGCUUCCGGUGCGAGAGGUCCCGGUUUCAAAUCCCGGCUGAACCC